GUCUGGCCUAUGUUCAUUGAGUAGAAUGGAACAGAAUGAAGUAACUUUGUUAACCUUAAUGAUCAAAAAUGGAAAUAAUUCAGGAACUUCUUAAGAUCAUGCAGCUGUAGAGGAGCUGGGUGGAGCAAGAUAGCCAAAUAGAAACCUUCACCUAUCAUCCCCUCUUCAGGAAAACCAAAUUUGACAACUAUCUACACAAAAAACAACUUCCUAAGAAACAAAAUCAGGUGCCGUAGCACUAAAGAUACUAAGCUAAGAGUGAGACUCAGAACAAG